rnacentral:rRNA from 1 species
UACGGAGGGUGCAAGCGUUAAUCGGAAUUAUUGGGCGUAAAGGGUGCGUAGGCGGUGCGGUAAGUCUGUAGUGAAAUCUCUGGGCUCAACUCAGAGUCUGCUAUAGAAACUGCCGUGCUUGAGUGUGGGAGAGGUGAGUGGAAUUCCCGGUGUAGCGGUGAAAUGCGUAGAUAUCAGGAGGAACACCUGUGGCGAAAGCGGCUCACUGGACCAUAACUGACGCUGAUGCACGAAAGCUAGGGGAGCAAACAGG